UACGAAGGGGGCUAGCGUUGCUCGGAAUCACUGGGCGUAAAGCGCACGUAGGCGGAUCUUUUAAGUCAGGGGUGAAAUCCCGGAGCUCAACUCCGGAACUGCCUUUGAUACUGAGGGUCUCGAGUUCGGGAGAGGUGAGUGGAACUGGCGAGUGUAGAGGUGAAAUUCGUAGAUAUUCGGAAGAACACCAGUGGCGAAGGUGGACUACUGGCCACAUAUGACGCUGAGGUGCGAAAGCGUGGGGAGCAAACAGGG
rnacentral:rRNA from 1 species